GAGUUUGAUCAUGGCUCAGGACGAACGCUGGCGGCGUGCCUAACACAUGCAAGUCGAGCGAUGAAACCCCUUCGGGGGUGGAUUAGCGGCGGACGGGUGAGUAACACGUGGGUAACCUGCCUCAAAGUGGGGGAUAGCCUUCCGAAAGGAAGAUUAAUACCGCAUAAAGCCAAGUUUCACAUGGAAUUUGGAUGAAAGGAGUAAUUCGCUUUGAGAUGGACCCGCGGCGCAUUAGUUAGUUGGUGGGGUAAUGGCCUACCAAGACAGCGAUGCGUAGCCGACCUGAGAGGGUGAUCGGCCACAUUGGAACUGAGAUACGGUCCAGACUCCUACGGGAGGCAGCAGUGGGGAAUAUUGCACAAUGGGCGAAAGCCUGAUGCAGCAACGCCGCGUGAGUGAUGAAGGUCUUCGGAUUGUAAAGCUCUGUCUUUUGGGACGAUAAUGACGGUACCAAAGGAGGAAGCCACGGCUAACUACGUGCCAGCAGCCGCGGUAAUACGUAGGUGGCGAGCGUUGUCCGGAUUUACUGGGCGUAAAGGGUGCGUAGGCGGAUGUUUAAGUGAGAUGUGAAAUACCCGGGCUUAACUUGGGUGCUGCAUUUCAAACUGGAUAUCUAGAGUGCAG
rnacentral:rRNA from 1 species